rnacentral:tRNA from 1 species
UCCCAGCUCAAUCGGUAGAGCGUCAGACUCUUAUAUCUAUUAAGAAGCGAUCUGAAGGUUGCGGGUUCGACCCCCGCGUUGGGCU